rnacentral:rRNA from 1 species
AGACUCCUUCGGGGAGGCAGCAGUGGGGAAUUUUGGACAAUGGGCGAAAGCCUGAUCCAGCAAUGCCGGGUGGGUGAAGAAGGCCUUCGGGUUGUAAAGCACUUUUGUCCGGAAAGAAAUCCUUGGCUCUAAUACAGUCGGGGGAUGACGGUACCGGAAGAAUAAGCACCGGCUAACUACGUGCCAGCAGCCGCGGUAAUACGUAGGGUGCAAGCGUUAAUCGGAAUUACUGGGCGUAAAGCGUGCGCAGGCGGUUUGCUAAGACCGAUGUGAAAUCCCCGGGCUCAACCUGGGAACUGCAUUGGUGACUGGCAGGCUAGAGUAUGGCAGAGGGGGGUAGAAUUCCACGUGUAGCAGUGAAAUGCGUAGAGAUGUGGAGGAAUACCGAUGGCGAAGGCAGCCCCCUGGGCCAAUACUGACGCUCAUGCACGAAAGCGUGGGGAGCAAACAGGAUUAGAUACCCUGGUAGUCCACGCCCUAAACGAUGUCAACUAGUUGUUGGGGAUUCAUUUCCUUAGUAACGUAGCUAACGCGUGAAGUUGACCGCCUGGGGGAGUACGGUCGCAAGAUUAAAACUCAAAGGAAUUGACGGGGACCCGCACAAGCGGUGGAUGAAGUGGGAUUAAUUCGAUGCAACGCGAAAAACCUUACCUACCCUUUGACAUGGUCGGAAUCCUGAAGAAGAUUCGGGGAGUGCUCGGAAAGAGAACCGGGCGCACAAGGUGCUGCAUGGGCUGUCGUCAGCUCCUUUCCUUGAAAAUGUUGGGGUUAAGUCCCCGCAA